rnacentral:rRNA from 1 species
UUGGGAAUCUUGGACAAUGGGGGAAACCCUGAUCCAGCGACGCCGCGUGGGUGAAGAAGGCCCUAGGGUUGUAAACCCCUUUCACCGGGGAGGAUGAUGACGUUACCCGGCUAAGAAGCCCCGGCUAACUCCGUGCCAGCAGCCGCGGUAAGACGGAGGGUGCUAGCGUUGUUCGGAAUCACUGGGCGUAAAGGGCGCGUAGGCGGCUUCAUGAGUCAGAUGUGAAAGCCCGGGGCUCAACUCCGGAACUGCAUUUGAUACUGUGGAGCUAGAGGUCGAAAGAGGAGAGUGGAAUACCCAGUGUAGAGGUGAAAUUCGUAGAUAUUGGGUGGAACACCAGUGGCGAAAGCGGCUCUCUGGUUCGAUUCUGACGCUGAGGCGCGAAAGCGUGGGGAGCAAACAGGAUUAGAUACCCCCGUAGUCC